AUUGAACGCUGGCGGAAUGCUUUACACAUGCAAGUCGAACGGCAGCACGGGGCAACCUGGUGGCGAGUGGCGAACGGGUGAGUAAUACAUCGGAACGUGCCCAAUCGUGGGGGAUAACGUAGCGAAAGUUACGCUAAUACCGCAUACGAUCUACGGAUGAAAGCGGGGGAUCGCAAGACCUCGCGCGAAUGGAGCGGCCGAUGUCAGAUUAGGUAGUUGGUGGGGUAAAGGCUCACCAAGCCAACGAUCUGUAGCUGGUCUGAGAGGACGACCAGCCACACUGGAACUGAGACACGGUCCAGACUCCUACGGGAGGCAGCAGUGGGGAAUUUUGGACAAUGGGCGCAAGCCUGAUCCAGCCAUUCCGCGUGCAGGAUGAAGGCCUUCGGGUUGUAAACCGCUUUUGUACGGAACGAAACGGUCUGCCCUAAUACGGCGGGCUAAUGACGGUACCGUAAGAAUAAGCACCGGCUAACUACGUGCCAGCAGCCGCGGUAACACCAUACC
rnacentral:rRNA from 1 species